ACGCAUUGUACUGUUAAAACAGGUCGUAACCUGAAAUGACACUAUUAUGGAUGUCCAUUUUUGCAACGUGUUUGUUAAAUUAGGGAUAAAUUGAAAGCCAGGAUCAGCAGCUCAACACAAAAUUAUGACAUCACAGGUUCUGGCUGACUGCGAUACUGCAACCCCCCCCCAGAAAGAAUGAUUCUGGAAGCAGAUGAAUCACAUAAAAGCCGAGACUUGUGUCUUUUGCAAGGUGAACUUUUCGUGCUUUUGGUUCAAAACUCCAAUAAUCUGUGCAACGCAAU